GGGUGGAGGGAGGGGUGGAAUGAAGGGGGGGAGUGUGGUUGAGUGAGGUGAAGAGUGAGGAUGGUUUGUUGUUUGAGGUUUUGUGGGCGAGAGUGCCACGUCAUAUAUUUACUGAAUUUAAUUGCGGGUGGUGGGUGCACACACAGAGUUUGGGAGUUGGUUUGUAAUUGUACCUUUUUUAACUUGAGAGACUUAGGAUCACGUGGUGCCGCACGUGAUACUGCUUGACUAUACUAUUGGUGGGUUUGCAGGUCGAUGGGGCGUUGUAUUGUUGAUUGAUGCGGCAUUUAAAUUUAAUUUUAUGAAAUGAUGAUGAUGAUGAUGAGGAUGAGGAUGUGGGUUCCUACUUCCUAGUCCAGGUGUAGAGGAUCGAGUAUGAAAUAUUCGCAAAUAUUUGACUUUUUUCUUUUUGGGGAGUGGGAGUGUGAGUGCGUGGAAUGGAUGAAUUAAAUUAUAAUAAAUAAUAAAUAAACAUAAAAUAAAAGAAUGGUAUGUAUCUUGUUGCAAGAUUACAUAAUGUAUGAAUCCAUUGAAAUAUCCAAACGCGGUUUAUUUUGAAAACAUAUUCUGAAUAUUUAGUGAUUAGAAAAUUAAUAGUUGUUUUAGAACAAAUAAUAUUUUUAUUAAUGUGAUAGUGAUAGUAUGAGAUUGAGGAGCAGAAGGAAGAUUUGGAUUUGUGGACGUGGUGAUGAAAUGAAGAUGUGAAUGGUUGACAAAGAAAAGGGCCAAUUAAGGGUCAAAUAUGGGCUUAGACCACUCCCACUCCCACUCUUCACUACAUCCAAUCAACUACUGUACUAAUAAUGCAUUGCUGUUCCACCCGGGUUAGGGUUUUAACAUCCCUCUUCUAUUUCACAAAUUGCCACCUCAAAAUUCGCCUAAAUGUUUCCGGGAUUCUUUAUUUGGAAAUCAGACGACGCGGCGGCGCUUAUGCAGCUCUAGACCCACCUUCGCUGCUUGCCUUCCUCUCAUCCCCUACAUUUUUCCCUACUUCUCCCAUCAAAAUCAACAACUUUAACUCUGCUUUCUACCUCUGCUAUCCUGAAUUUACUCUGAAUUUUUUUGGUGAAUACAUUUUACUAAUUCUACGUCCCUAUUUGGCUCGACCUUGUGUGUCUCAAUUCAUUUCUCACUUUUGAUUAUUAGUUGUCACGUGUUUCUUUGUUACUUGUGUUCCUGCCUUACACUCCCUCCCUCCAUCCACCCAUUCCAAUUUUCUAAUAUUGUUCAUUGCCGUAUCGUAUUGGUCUUUGAUAUUUAUGAUAUCAAAUGGCUUCUGUGUAAUAUGUUGCCUUCACUAUAUGAUUGUCUUCUUUGUUACACUUGAUUGAUCCACCCUUAUUCACUAAUGCAUUUGAAUUAUUAGUCAGAUUAGCUGUUUGGGUGUUGGGAUGUGGAGUUGGUGAAUUGUAAUAAAACAAGUGCUCAACAUGGGACCUGUUGUGUGAAGCAAUUGUCAAGUUGAGUUUUUUUUGCAAACCCAUUGUAAACAACGGCUUUAAUUAGCUCAUGUGUGUUUUUUCUUUUUUAGACCUCCCAAUUUCAUUCGAUUAUGUCGUUUCUAAGUUCUACUUUGUCCUUCUCCCCAAGCUUUAUCCUAACAGUCUUUUUACCCCCCACCCUCCCAAACAAGAUUCCUUGAAUACAAGUUUAAAACAGAAUAAGGAGAAGAAGAGAAGACACCUGCCCUUACACUUUCUUGCAGAUAUUCACAGCACCAAGAAGAAAGAAAGCUUGUGUUGAAAGAAAAUCUUCAAUCAAGUCUGUUAUAACCUAUCUCCCAUUGCAUCGGCUUUGUAUUCCCAUGUUGAUUAUCGUUAGGAGCUUAAUUCGUAGAAAGUUUGUGAUGGGAAUAGUAAAAGUAGUAUUGAAUCAAGAGAAUAGGAUCUCAAGCUAUUAAUAUACAUACCUGAAGGAGGGAAGAAAAUCAGAAAAUACAAGCAAAAGAUAUAUAAGUUUGGCUGGAGGUGUUCCUUUGCUCUUGACUCUGUCUCAGUUAUAAGCAUGUUGCAGCUGGCAAGAACUUCAUCAUACAAAAAAGAACUUUACCGCUUCCUUCAAAACCAGAUCAAGAUAUCAUUUUUCGAGUGCAUUAGGACCAUUGGUAUAUUUAUCACAUCAAAAUUAGCAAUAGUAGUUUGUAUAAAUCAAUUGGUAAGCAUGCCAAAGAAGGGUCAUGCCUGCUGCAUACUAAACACUAAGCUCCAUCAAUUUUGAGAAGAUGAAGCAGCUUCAAAUUGUCUAUAACACUUGUCGAUAUCCGAAAUGGUGAUGAUGGAAGAUCCACAUCAUGAUGUAUACGUUGUAAUAUUCUAACUAUUGAGGAUAAUGUAAUAAUGCUCUAGAAUAGGAAUAAUUGCAUAUUAA